GAUGAAGAACGUAGCGAAAUGCGAUAAGUAAUGUGAAUUGCAGAAUUCAGUGAAUCAUCGAAUCUUUGAACGCACAUUGCGCCCCCUGGUAUUCCGGGGGGCAUGCCUGUCCGAGCGUCAUUACAACCCUCAAGCUCAGCUUGGUGUUGGGCCCCGCCGCCCCGGCGGGCCCUAAAGUCAGUGGCGGUGCCGUCCGGCUCCGAGCGUAGUAAUUCUUCUCGCUCUGGAGGUCCGGUCGUGUGCUCGCCAGCAACCCCCAAUUUUUUUCAGGUUAACCUCGGAUCAGGUAGGGAUACCCGCUGAACUUAAGCAUAUCAAUAAGCGGAGGA
rnacentral:misc_RNA from 1 species